rnacentral:snRNA from 1 species
GCUUGCUUUGGCAGAGCAUAUACUAAAAUUGGAACAACACAGAGAAGAUUAGCAUGGCUCCUGCAUAAGAUGACAUGCAAAUUUAUGAAGCCUUCCAUAUUUUU